AACAAAAUUAACAAGAGCCGAAACCCUAUUUAACGAGGUUAACCAUCCUCCUCUCCACCCCGAUCGCCGAUCGAUGCAGCAACCCAACCACGACGCUGCCGUCGCCGCAGGCCCUCCCGCUCAGGGCCUCAGGUUCAUCUACUCCCUCUGUUUCUUAAACCUUUCGCUUCUCUCGGACUCUCUCCUCCCUUGCUCUUCCUUCCCUGGCGGCGACGACUGGGCCAGCGGCGGCUCCAUUUGUCACGUCUUCGCCCAGCCCUUUGCCGGCAACGAGCAUCCUCCAGGAUCAUAAUGAAGGCAUUCCAUCAGUCACCAUCACUAGUUGGCUAUACAUUUCCUUCCAGUCAAAAGACACGUAUUUCCUUCAGCAGCAGCCCUUAUCACCAUUGCUUGCAUCGGUAUCAGCUUGUAGCAUCUAAGGACACCUUUAAUUGCAACAAGAAGUAUGGAAGGCUAAUGGUUACAGUUAGUAGCCUCUCUGGGAUGUCCUAUGAGAAGUUCCCUGAAUCAGCUUGGGGUAUAUGGAAGGAUUCUUCCUCAGAGUCACUGAAGAACAUGAAGGAUGCGGAGCAGAAGGUGUUGGCACAAGAUAUGGAUUCUCAGUUCGUCGAGUCCAUCGUAUUUGAUAAAACACUCUACAAGUAUGAAAUUCUUGACAUAAAGACUAGCAUGGUAAAGAUUAUGAAGCAGCAGGGUUUGAUGUCUGCUGGUGACAAAGAUGAAAUUUUAAGUGCUCUUGAUAAGAUAAAACAAGAUAUUGUACGAGGAAAAUUUGAAUGGAGAGAUGGUCGAGAUGUGCAUACAAAUAUAAUGGAAGCACUUGUUAACAUGGUUGGAGAGCAUGCUAAGGUGCUUACAACAACAAAUCAAACUGAUCGCUGCUUGUCUGCCCUAACAGCAUGGUACAAGGAUUGCAUUAUGGCCAUCACUACUCGAAUAAAACGAAUUCAGGUGGCCCUCAUGUUCUUAGCAAUCAGAAAUGAGGGCUUAGUCCUUUCUGGUUCUCCAAAAACUGGGGAGUGCAUUUCACUUGACAGUAUAAUUUUGCCUAUUGUUAAAGAGCUAGCACAUGAUGCUAAUUGUCUUGGCUACUAUCAUGAUCUAAUUACUUUCUCCAGCAAUUUUGAUUGUCCAGUAACUGAUUCAUAUUUUGUGCGCUCUCGAAUUGGCUAUACUGCGGACAGAAUCAAUUAUGAUGUUCCUGACCAUCUAAUGCAGAUGGUCAAGAUGCCCAUUUCAUUGCAUUCUUUUAUACCAAAUGAUGAAGUAAUAGCCAACUAUUACAUGUUCCUAGAAAGGUUUUGUCCAAAUCAAAGGACAGACGAUGGAUUGUUUGCUCUGGACAACAGUCUAAAUACCAGUAUCUUCUGUUCAACUCAUGGUUUUGAUAUUGAGGAUGCUAGAUUUUAUCUUUUUCUAGCAUGGAUAACGUGCUGGAAAUGCUUGACAUGUGCAUCAAGUUUGCUGAAGGGACAUCUAUGACUCAAGAAAGUCCUCCAAGAGACCCUUCUGAUGCAGUGAGCUUGGCACGGUUCCUCAAUAGCAAGGGGCUCUCUUUGGGAACUUCAUAUGCCGUGGUUAGUUUGAGCCUAAGGAAGAGGUGCCAACCUUGGGAGCUCUCACCGCUGGAGUUGAAGAGAAUUGGCCUUCCUUGUGAUUCAUUGGAAGAGAUCUGUCAGGCUCGCAGUCUGCUGUUGCAGGGAAAACACAUCGUCUUUGAUGGUUUGACUGAUCGAGAUUCAUUGGCAGAGCUGUUGUUUUGGUGCGGUAAUCUUGAAAUUGAUCCACAUAUCCUUUUCUAGGGACGAGGGUUUCAGUUUGUUGAGUACGUUUCUAGGUCCUUGGACAGAUUGUAUUCCAGUUUUGAGGGGUUUUUUACAGUCAUAAAUGUUGUCAAAAAAUUCCAACUCAGACAUUUAGGGAUGUAAGGGAUCGAGUAUGAACGGGUAUUGCUGAUAGCAUCAUUUGGCUACCUCACAAGUCUAAAUUGUAAUUAGAUUAUGCUUACAAAAGAAAAUUGACAAUAGAUGACAUCCAAGUAAUGGGUCAUAUGGA